UCAUAACGAUUUACAUUUCAUUUUAUAAUUAAUAUGACAAUUAUAUGGGUUUGAAAGUUAUCAAAACAUGAUUUUAAUACUGAAAUCAAGUACGAUUAUAAAGCUAUUUUGAUUCAUAUGGAAUUCCCGUGUUUCUGAAUUCUAAACUAGAAGAACAAGUUACAAUUCAAACUCAGCCAUGCUUGAUAUUGUACAUAAUAUUUGUCAGGGUGUUGAAGAAGUAGAUAAAACUAAAGAAGGAUUUUACAUUAGGUUGGGCAUCACUGUUAUACUGAGGAAUGCAAUACAUUAUAUGAAAGCACUUCAAAUUAACCGGUCGAUCUCUAGAGUUUAGAUAUAAACAUGGAGACUCAACAACAAGAAGCUGACAUGAACAAUACCAAUGUAACUCACUAAUCUGAUAAACCUC